GUGCUCACUUCGGCAACACAUAUACUAAAAUUAGAACGAUACAGAGAAGAUUAGCAUGGCCCCUGUGCAAGGAUGACAUGCGAAAAUUAAAAUAAAAUUAAUCAAUA